ACUUUAACAGAAUAGUCUGAAGUCGCUUAGGUACUGGGCUCGGCUUCCGGCGAAUGUCAAUCAGUACCUACACAUGUAGAUGCUAACAGGUCUACCUUCCCGGACCGGGGUUCGACUCCCCGCACCUCCACUA
rnacentral:tmRNA from 1 species